rnacentral:rRNA from 1 species
AUGAACGCUGGCGGCGUGCCUAAUACAUGCAAGUCGAGCGAACGGACGAGAAGCUUGCUUCUCUGAUGUUAGCGGCGGACGGGUGAGUAACACGUGGAUAACCUACCUAUAAGACUGGGAUAACUUCGGGAAACCGGAGCUAAUACCGGAUAAUAUUUUGAACCGCAUGGUUCAAAAGUGAAAGACGGUCUUGCUGUCACUUAUAGAUGGAUCCGCGCUGCAUUAGCUAGUUGGUAAGGUAACGGCUUACCAAGGCAACGAUGCAUAGCCGACCUGAGAGGGUGAUCGGCCACACUGGAACUGAGACACGGUCCAGACUCCUACGGGAGGCAGCAGUAGGGAAUCUUCCGCAAUGGGCGAAAGCCUGACGGAGCGACGCCGCGUGAGUGAUGAAGGUCUUCGGAUCGUAAAACUCCGUUAUUAGGGAAGAACAUAUGUGUAAGUAACUGUGCACAUCUUGACGGUACCUAAUCAGAAAGCCACGGCUAACUACGUG